GGCAGGAUGGCCGAGUGGUAAGGCGCCAGUUUCAGGUCCUGGUGGAUUAGUCCUCGUGGGUUCGAAUCCCACUCCCGUCG